GAAACCAGGAGGAAGGUAUCUCCCAAAGAAAUGCCCUCCCCAAGAUGACUAUUCAACUGCAGAUGGCUAGCACAGAAAUUCAGCCAACAGUGAUCACCAGUCAAGAGGAAAAAAAGGAGUUUUCAAGGAGUUUGGUGCAGAGGAUAACAUCUAUCCAAACCUUACUAAUCUACCUUUUAAGGAAUGAGAAUAGGUGGAAGAAAGCGCCUUGGAGAAGGUUGUGACUCAAGGUCCCACUGGAAGCCAGUAGCCAUGUGGGAGCUGCUCCCUGGAGGGCAGACCGUCCUGACACCGCAGCCUAACCGAGAGGCCCUGACCCAUG